rnacentral:lncRNA from 1 species
CGAUCUGCUACAACUUAACAAAUGGUACUUUUUCAUUCGAACUUUAUCUUCGUCUUGAAAAUGAUUUUAAGAGCGAAUCAACGAAGCCAUUCACAUUAUAUAUGUGGAUAUAUACCAGAAUAUUUGACGUGCAAUACUGUAAAUCACAAUAUAAGGAUAUAAUAUUUAUUAUAUCAUUUCAAAACACUCCAUGGACUAAAACUAACAUGUCAAACAACACAAACGUUGAAUAUUAAAUUAGAAGGAAAAGGGAGAUAAUCGUAGCUACUUUAUCGUUACGUAACCAU